rnacentral:rRNA from 1 species
AUUGAACGCUGGCGGCAGGCCUAACACAUGCAAGUCGAGCGGAUGAAGGGAGCUUGCUCCUGGAUUCAGCGGCGGACGGGUGAGUAAUGCCUAGGAAUCUGCCUGGUAGUGGGGGAUAACGUCCGGAAACGGGCGCUAAUACCGCAUACGUCCUGAGGGAGAAAGUGGGGGAUCUUCGGACCUCACGCUACCAGAUGAGCCUAGGUCGGAUUAGCUAGUUGGUGGGGUAAAGGCCUACCAAGGCGACGAUCCGUAACUGGUCUGAGAGGAUGAUCAGUCACACUGGAACUGAGACACGGUCCAGGCUCCUACGGGAGGCAGCAGUGGGGAAUAUUGGACAAUGGGCGAAAGCCUGAUCCAGCCAUGCCGCGUGUGUGAAGAAGGUCUUCGGAUUGUAAAGCACUUUAAGUUGUGAGGAAGGGCAGUAAGUUAAUACCUUGCUGUUUUGACGUUACCAACAGAAUAAGCACCGGCUAACUUCGUG